rnacentral:rRNA from 2 species
UGGGGAAUAUUGCGCAAUGCCCGCAAGGGUGACGCAGCGACGCCGCGUGAGGGAGGAAGCUCUACGGAGUGUAAACCUCUUUCGCAGGGGAAGAAAGCGCAGCAUUCGCAAGGGUGUUGUGUUGACGGUACCCUGAGAAGCAGCCCCGGCUAACUACGUGCCAGCAGCCGCGGUAAUACGUAGGGGGCAAGCGUUGUCCGGAAUCACUGGGUGUAAAGGGCGUGUAGGCGGAUACGCAAGUUGGAUGUGAAAUAUUCCGGCUUAACCGGGAGGGGUCAUCCAAAACUGCGUAUCUUGAGUCCAGCAGGGGGUGGUGGAAUUCCUGGUGUAGCGGUGAAAUGCGUAGAUAUCAGGAAGAACACCGGAGGCGAAGGCGGCCACCUGGGCUGGAACUGACGCUGAGGCGCGAAAGCGUGGGGAGCAAACAGGAUUAGAUACCCUGGUAGUCCACGCUGUAAACGAUGGGCACUAGGUGCUGGCAUGGUGAAUGUCGGUGCCGCAGCUAACGCAUUAAGUGCCCCACCUGGGGAGUACGCUCGCAAGGGUG